UACGUAGGAGACGAGCGUUGUCCGGAGUUACUGGGCGUAAAGGGUGCGCAGGUGGCGGCGCGCGUGGGGGGUGAAAUCGCCCGGCUUAACUGGGCGGGGGCCUUCCAGACGGCGUGGCUUGAGCAGCGGAGGGGGACGUGGAAUUCCGGGUGGAGCGGUGAAAUGCGUAGAGAUCCGGAGGAACACCGAAGGCGAAGGCAGUGUCCUGGGGAGUACCUGACGCUCAGGUGCGAAAGCUAGGGGAGCGAACGGG
rnacentral:rRNA from 1 species